GCAAGUCGAACGAGAAAGCUCUUCGGAGUGAGUAGAGUGGCGCACGGGUGAGUAAUGCAUAGGAACGUACCUAUAGGAGGGGGAUAACCACGGGAAACUGUGGCUAAUACCGCAUAGUCAGGCAACUGUAAAGCAGGCUUCGGCUCGCGCCUAUAGAUCGGCCUAUGUCCCAUUAGCUUGUUGGUAGGGUAAUGGCCUACCAAGGCGACGAUGGGUAGCUGGUCUGAGAGGAUGAUC
rnacentral:rRNA from 1 species